rnacentral:rRNA from 1 species
UACAGAGGCCUCAAGCGUUAGGCGGAAUCACUGGGCUUAAAGCGUGUGUAGGCGGACUUCUAAGUGCCUUGUGAAAUCCCACGGCUCAACCGUGGAACUGCUGGGCAUACUGGGAGUCUUGGGCCAUUCAGGGGCAACUGGAACAAGCGGUGGAGCGGUGAAAUGCGUAGAGAUCCGGAAGAACACCGGUGGCGAAGGCGGUCUGCUGGGGUAAUGCUGACACUGAUGCGCGACAGCGUGGGGAGCAAACAGG